UACAGAGGUCCCAAGCGUUGUUCGGAUUCACUGGGCGUAAAGGGUGCGUAGGUGGUUGGGUAAGUCUAAUGUGAAAUCUCCGAGCCUAACUCGGAAACUGCAUCGGAUACUAUCCAGCUAGAGGAUUGGAGGGGGGACUGGAAUACUUGGUGUAGCAGUGAAAUGCGUAGAUAUCAAGUGGAACACCAGUGGCGAAGGCGAGUCCCUAGACAACUCCUGACACUGAGGCACGAAAGCUAGGGGAGCAAACAGG
rnacentral:rRNA from 1 species